UACGUAGGGGGCGAGCGUUGUCCGGAUUCAUUGGGCGUAAAGAGCUCGUAGGCGGCUUGGCAAGUCGGGUGUGAAAACUUCAGGCUCAACCUGGAGAUGCCACUCGAUACUGCUAUGGCUAGAGUCCGGUAGGGGACCACGGAAUUCCUGGUGUAGCGGUGAAAUGCGCAGAUAUCAGGAGGAACACCGGUGGCGAAGGCGGUGGUCUGGGCCGGCACUGACGCUGAGGAGCGAAAGCGUGGGGAGCGAACAGG
rnacentral:rRNA from 1 species